GAGUUAAAAUGAAUAGUGACUUUUAGUUUAAUGGGUUACCCACGGCUAAUCCUGAAUUAAUCUGUUAUUUAACGAAUGUUUAAGGCAUUGAUCGGACAGCAAACCCAACCACUUAUUCUUUGACCUGAAACCAUUAUUUCCAUGUUGAUUCAUGUCAGAUUCGCGGUCGUGUCUGAAAUUGGCAAGUUAAGGCACGGUACACUUGAAACGACGAAUGUGCCCCAUCAUGUAGAAGUAUCACUUGCAGUAUUUUAACAACUCUUUAUGAAAUUUUCAGUUUUGUACUGCAUGGAAAUGUUUUGGUGAUUGAUCGAACUGCUUGGCGCAACUCAUGAUAUCUGGUGUUUGGAUUUCAUAUUUGACAAUCAUAAGGUGUUUGGAGUGGAGCUUCUUCUACGCAACAAUGGAGGACGUAAUCUUCACUGAGAAAUUACCCGGAGAAAAAGAUGGCUGCAUAAACCAAAGAAGGCUAUUCUCAAUCUUUUGAAGGCGAAUAGUUUGUGACCAAUCUGCAUUAACUUGAGUUCUUCUGGAUGCUGCAACAAAUUGACUCAGAGUAAGUUGGCUCAUGCCUUGCAUUGGCUUCUUUUUAGAGGGUGGACGGUCAUUUGAUCCUGAAGAUCGAGAAGUACUCACCGUUGUGGCAAAAUGGACAGUGUGGUUUCUUUCCCUACAGUUUUCCGAGGGGUUUUCUGGAGGAGUGUCUGUGCUGGUACAUUGGAAAUGCAAACCAAAGGGAAUUGAAGCAUAAACUGGUUUUUCCAUGAAGAGAGAAGGACAAAAGGUAACUGCUAUGAGGUAAUGCUUUUGGAUGAGGCUUUGGGCCGUUACUGAUGGUAUCCGAGUCCAACCCACCCCAUUGCCUAUACGGAUUCACUGCCCAUGGUCAUGAUGAUGAUUGCUUGACAAUGAAUGAAAGGGCACUGCCCUCUCUGCACAAGGAGGGGAGAAAUGUGAUGCCCCGAAUCUUGUAUUUGGUGAUGCACUGGAAAGACCUAGGAUAUUGUAAGGCUAAAGAAUCCAGAAGUUAACUUUAGCUGGAAAUUUUGGAUGUGUCCUUGGAUAGUUACAUUGGACUUGCUGCAGUUACACAUUACAUCUAUUCUGAAGUCUGGAACUGUUAUAUAAUGAAGAGUUUAUCUCAGUUUUGCAUGCGGAUAAUGUUGGAAAUGAAAAAGCAUGGAGUCCCACUCUGACUCAUACAAUAAACUCAAUGUCGGUGACUGCAGAAGAGGUGAAGGUCAUAUCAGUGCUGCUGGUAUCGUUUGUGAUAGUAAUGAAGGAUGGACCAUAGUGUUUUUCAGGUAAGCUUGGGAUGGGAGAGGUACUAACUGCGAAUGCUUAGGGUUUGGCCUGGAAUAAGGUUAUUAAGAAUCUGAAAAAUGAAAGAGCUUCAGCUAUAUAUAGAAGUUACUUUGAUGAUGCAAAGUUUAGAAGUAUGUAUAAAAGAAAUAAUGUAAAUAUUGACUGUGAAGAUACAUCAAAUAAUUAUUAAAGAAGCCAAACUGAAAUUCACCUCAAAAAUUUCUUUAGUUCCUUCUAAA